rnacentral:lncRNA from 10 species
CCUGACUAAUCUUUUAAUUUUUACUUUUAGUAGAGAUGGUGUCUCAUAUUAUUUCCCAGGCUGGUGGAUCACCUGAGGUCAGGAGUUUGAGACCAUCCUAACCAAUAUGGUGAAACUCCAUCUCUACUAAAAAUACAAAAUUAGUUAGGCAUGAUGGUGCAUGCCUGUAAUCUCAGUUACUCGAGAGACUAAGGCAGGAGAAUCGCUUGAACCCGGGAGGCAGAGGUUGCAGUGAGCUGAGAUCGCACAACUGCGCUCUAGCCUGGGCGACAGAGUGAGACUCCAUCUCGAAAACAAAAAACAAAACAAACACAAAACAAACAAACCUA